AGUGAACGCUGGCGGUAGGCCUAACACAUGCAAGUCGAACGGCCGCACCGGGGAGCUUGCUCUCUGGGUGACGAGUGGCGGACGGGUGAGGAAUACAUCGGAAUCUGCCCAGUCGUAGGGGAUAACGUAGGGAAACUGACGCUAAUAGCGCAUACGACCUUCGGUUGAAAGAGGGGGAGCGCAAGACCUCUCGCGGUUGGGUGAGCCGAUGUCGGAUUAGCUAGUUGGCGGCGUAAUGGCGCACCAAGGCGACGAUCCUGAGCUCGUAUCACAGGAUGAACAGCCAGACUGGCUGUGAGACACAGCACAGACAUCUACGGGAGGCAGCAGUGGGGAAUACUACACGAUGGGCGAAAGCCUGAUCUAGCCAUAUCGCGUAAGGGAAGAAGGCGUCCGGCUUGGAGAACGCUGUUGGUCUUAAAGAAAUAAUAUACUUUCACCGCCGGCGAUGAUGACGGUACCCAAAGAAGAAGCCCCGGCUAACUUCGUG
rnacentral:rRNA from 1 species